rnacentral:rRNA from 1 species
UACGUAGGGGGCGAGCGUUACCCGGAAUCACUGGGCGUAAAGGGAGCGUAGGUGGCCUGACAUGUCGACUGUGAAAACCCGGAGCUCAACUCCGGACUUGCAGUUGAAACUGCCAGGCUUGAGGACGGUAGAGGAAGACGGAACUGCCAGUGUAGGGGUAAAAUCCUUAGAUAUUGGCAGGAACGCCGGUGACGAAGGUGGUUUUCUGGGCCGGUUCUGACACUGAUGCUCGAAAGCCAGGGGAGCGAACGGGAUUAGAUACCCGGGUAGUCCCUGAGCGGGCUGGCAA